rnacentral:rRNA from 1 species
UACGGAGGGUGCAAACGUUGCUCGGAAUCAUUGGGCGUAAAGCGCACGUAGGUGGCCUGUUAAGUCGGGUGUGAAAUCCCUGGGCUCAACCCAGGAAGUGCACUCGAAACUGGCGGGCUUGAGUACUGAAGAGGGUCGCGGAAUUCCCGGUGUAGAGGUGAAAUUCGUAGAUAUCGGGAGGAACACCAGUGGCGAAGGCGGCGACCUGGGCAGAUACUGACACUGAGGUGCGAAAGCGUGGGGAGCGAACAGG